rnacentral:rRNA from 1 species
UACGUAGGGGCCAAGCGUUGUCCGGAUUUAUUGGGCGUAAAGAGCUCGUAGGCGGUUCGGCAAGUCAGCUGUGAAAUCUCCACGCUCAACGUGGAGGGGUCAGCUGAUACUGCUGUGACUUGAGUCCGGUAGGGGAGUGUGGAAUUCCCGGUGUAGCGGUGAAAUGCGCAGAUAUCAGGAGGAACACCGGUGGCGAAGGCGGGUCUCUGGGCCGAUACUGACGCUGAGGAGCGAAAGCGUGGGGAGCAAACAGG